rnacentral:rRNA from 1 species
AUGGAUUUCUCGGUGCCGGUGCCGGUGCCGCUUCCGUGCCUCGUCGUCGACCACGACGGCGCCGGAGGGGAGCCCUGCACAACCCUGCUCGACGUCUCCAAAGGGGAACAGUACCAACACCACACAUGCGACGGCGACGCCCACGCGCUGCUACGCAACAGGCGGAGAUGGAUGACGCCGCACGGGUGGGUGCUCUCGUGUGACCCCUCCACCCUCGCCACCUUCCUGUGGAGCCCUCAGACCUCGGAGAAGAUCGACCUGCCGCCCCUCGCGCCGGGGCAGGAGAUACCCUUGCAAUCCUCCUGCUCCCUGUCCGGCAAGCCCACCACCGCCGGCUUCACCGUGGUCGUCGUCGAGCCGGAGGACACGGUAGUAUGGUACUGCCAUGUCGGCGGUGAUGCCGGAGGACGUGGAUGGGUCAGGUACGAGUACGACGUGGGAAGCGUCACGUUCCCGGUGGUCAAUGGUCGGAGAAUCCAGGGGAAGAAGUUCAUCACCCGGCUCACGGCGGUCGGAGGCAAGUUCUACUUCUUCAAAUCGCAUGACGAGCUCGGCGUGCUCGAAUUCUCGCCUGCGCCGCUCCACAGCUCGGUGCCAGUCCGCGCCGUCGAGCGUCCCCCGGGGACCACCUGCAUGGCGCCGUCGUUCGUGGAGCUCGGCGGCGAGCUCUAUAUGGUCUCCGCCUUCUUGCACUACGACAGCGGUGGCGCCACAAGUGUUCUCGGCUGCGGCGUGUACAAGCUGGACUUGGCGGGGAAGAGGUGGUGCAAGGUCAGCGACAUCGGCGACCGAGCCUUCCUCAUGUGCCCUCUGUAUUUCAGUGGCUGCUGCUCUGCGACCGCCUCCGGGCUGAGACCCAACUGCGUCUAUUGGAUGGGGCUGUGUGACGACGACCUGCUGCGAGUCUUCGAUAUCGACAGGAACGAGGGAUCGCAUGAAGUGCACGAUCCGUGCAAAGAUAUCAUCACCGGGCCAAACCGUAAUGCGGUGUGGAUGCUUCCUAGUGAUGAUCCAUAA